rnacentral:rRNA from 1 species
AGUGAACGCUGGCGGUAGGCCUAACACAUGCAAGUCGAACGGCAGCACAGUAAGAGCUUGCUCUUACGGGUGGCGAGUGGCGGACGGGUGAGGAAUACAUCGGAAUCUACUUUUUCGUGGGGGAUAACGUAGGGAAACUUACGCUAAUACCGCAUACGACCUACGGGUGAAAGCAGGGGAUCUUCGGACCUUGCGCGAUUGAAUGAGCCGAUGUCGCAUUAGCUAGUUGGCGGGGUAAAGGCCCACCAAGGCGACGAUCCGUAGCUGGUCUGAGAGGAUGAUCAGCCACACUGGAACUGAGACACGGUCCAGACUCCUACGGGAGGCAGCAGUAGGGAAUCUUCGGCAAUGGGCGCAAGCCUGAUGCAGCCAUACCGCGUGGGUGAAGAAGGCCUUCGGGUUGUAAAGCCCUUUUAUUGGGGAAGAACAGCAGCAGAUUAAUACCCCGCUGUUCUGACGGUACCCAGAGAAUAAGCACCGGCUAACUUCGUG